GACGAACGCUGGCGGCGUGCUUAACACAUGCAAGUCGAACGGAAAGGCCCUGCUUUUGUGGGGUGCUCGAGUGGCGAACGGGUGAGUAACACGUGAGUAACCUGCCCUUGACUUUGGGAUAACUUCAGGAAACUGGGGCUAAUACCGGAUAGGAGCUCCUGCUGCAUGGUGGGGGUUGGAAAGUUUCGGCGGUUGGGGAUGGACUCGCGGCUUAUCAGCUUGUUGGUGGGGUAGUGGCUUACCAAGGCUUUGACGGGUAGCCGGCCUGAGAGGGUGACCGGCCACAUUGGGACUGAGAUACGGCCCAGACUCCUACGGGAGGCAACAGUGGGGAAUAUUGCACAAUGGGCGGAAGCCUGAUGCAGCAACGCCGCGUGCGGGAUGACGGCCUUCGGGUUGUAAACCGCUUUCGCCUGUGACGAAGCGUGAGGGACGGUAAUGGGUAAAGAAGCACCGGCUAACUACGU
rnacentral:rRNA from 1 species